rnacentral:snRNA from 1 species
AAUGAGAUAAGUCCGGUCG